AGAUCCGGAACUCCCCUCGGCUACACCUUUCCCCGGGCUCUUCCCUCCGCUCCUCCCCGUGGCCCCCUCCCCUCUGGCGGCCACCGCAGAGCUCCGACUGACCCGUGUGCCUCGCUCUGCCAGGCUGCCUUCCUCUCUACCUGCCCCCUUCCAGAUCCGCAGUCCCCUGCUCUCCACGCGAGCCCCCUUCACAGUCCCUGCUACCUUGUAACUAACUUGCACUUUUCCCGAGUCCGGUUCUUAGCCUUUGCCCUGCAGCUCAGCUCCUUAAAGCUUUCAGAUCCCCAAACUUUUAUUGUAAUUAUGGACAAUAACUCCGUCCUUAACGCCUGUGCCCUCCGGGAUCCCGUGGCCCGCCGCCCCCUCCGUUGGACCUGGAGUCGCUCUCGUCUGCACCUCUCCCUUAGACCCACUUCCCUGAGCCCCUUGUCGAGAGGCUUUCAGGAAGCCAACCAGGAAGUGGGACUACCGCUGCUGCUGCAGCAGCUCCACGUGGCUGAUUUAUAGCUGAAGGGUUUUUUUUUUUCCUUCUUAUUGAUUGUUCUUGCUUUUUCACACGGCUCCUUAAGGUGGUGAAUUUGUAACCGAAAGGCCCAGGUGAGAUGUGCAAAUAUCACUGGAUUGGAGGAGCUCACUUGGAAAGCCAGUAUUCCUCCUGAGCUAAUGAAAAGAAAGGCUGUCGUCUUAUGCCAAAAGCAAUACCAACCUUGUUCACGGGCUGGUCAUCAAGACCAUGGCUUCCAUCGUAGGCAGUCACACUCUUUCUCUCUUGGAUCAUUUGCUGUGGGGAAGCAAACUGUCAUAUGAGAGGACACUCAAACAGCCUCUGGAGUCUCAUUUGCUAAGGAACUGAGGACUCCAGCCUGAGAACUCAGGCAAGUAACUGAGGCCUGCCAACAACCAUGGAGAAAGCCUGGAAGUGGAUCCUCCCUCAGCCUUCAGUCGAGACAACAGCUGCAAUGACAGCCAAGCCAGCGCCACCCAGCUUAGCCACCCCCAGAGAACUAACUCUCAGAAACCAUGUAAGAUAAUACAUGUUUGUUGUUUUAAGCUGCUAAGUUUUGGGGUAAUUUAUUAUACAAUAGAUAAUUAAAACACAUAGCAUAUAAAUAAAAUCAAUAAAACCAGUAUGGGUCAGUAAUGAGUAAAUUAGAUAAUUAGACAAAUUUUGACAUUUCUGUUUCUAUGUUAAUUAUUUUUCUUCAGAAAAAUUCUCUACGGGUAAAAUAUGUUAAGAGUGGUUACCAACGGACAUUUUAAAAUUAAUAAUCAGUUUGGGAGGCCAAGGCGGUUGGAUUGCUUUAACUCAGGAGUUUGAGGCCAACCUGGGCAACAUGACAAAACCCUGUCUCUACAAAAAAUACAAAAAUUAGCCAGGCAUGGUCGUGUGUGCCUGUAGUCCCAGCUACUUGGGAAGCUGAGGUGGGAGGAUCAAUUGAGCCUGGGAGGCCAGGCUGCAGUGAGUCAAAAUCAUACCAUCUCAAUCCAGCCUGAGCAACAGAGUGAGACCCUAUCUAAAAUAUAUACAUGUAUAUUAACAAUUAUCUCUUGAAACUAAAGUAUAAUCACAGUACUAGUGUACUAUUUUCCAUUUUAUUAAAUGCACUAAACAGUAUUGCAAUGUGUUUGUGUUUAUUAAAAAAUAUUUUGGAAAUCUUUGGGAGAAAAGCUACUUCAAAUUAGUCUGAAAACUAUCAUUUCCUUCUAGCAAUGUGUAAUAAUGUAAUGACUGCUUAGAAUUUCCUGAGAGGGACUGUAACAUAUAUUUUAAGCAUAAUAUUGUAAACAAACAAGUUCUUUUGCAGUACUUGAAGAUCUUUUUUUGUGACUAUCCCCCUUAUAUAUUAUGAAGAUACAUUUUUUGUGACUAUCCUCUUUAUAUGUAUUGUGAAGAUAAGGUUUUUUAUAGUGAAUAUCCUCCUAAUGCUACUAGUAUUGUUUGCAAUCUGUCAUUAUUCUUAGUGUAAAAUUAAACUUCAACAGAGUACCUGUGUGAACUCUUAACAAUUUUUGAAUUAGUGAAGCCCCAAAUUAAUGAUGCUUUACUAGAUAUAAGGGAACUGGAAAGGCUGAAAUCUCAAGGUAGAGUCAAGGCAGUAAUUCCUAGCAGCCUGUGUUUCUCGGUGUUCUUCAUGCUUCACAGAGGUUGGAAUUCAGCUUCUGGUUUAAGUUGUCUUAAUCUUGACCACAGUGGUAAUUUUACUUUCCCACUCUUUUUUCCUCAACUAGAAUGACUCGGAGAGUUGAGCUAACAGAGGUAGAAUAUUGAUUCGUGAGAUAGGUUCUUAGAGAUAUAAGUGUGCGCAUGGAAGAAGGAGGAAUGGCGUGGAAGAGCAGGUGGAGACGGCCACAGCAGGGCUUAGAAAUUCCCUCUAUCCAAAGCCUGGUUGUGAGGAAUUUGAUAGAAAGGAUUGUGUGGGCUAAGACAUCAGUUUUUAUGGUAAUAUUUGAGGGAGAAAAUUGAGAUCUUGGAAUGCAUUUGAAAAAAAGAUUAGUUUUAAUACAAUUAUCACUUUACCUGAGACCACAUCUCAAAAUCAAAAUCAGUGAUAAUGUCUUUGCAUUAAUGUUGGAAAGACUUAUGCUACUUCUGCAUAAUUUUCUGGUAAAUUAUGUAAUGAGUGGUCAGUAUAAUAGCAUGGUUAUUGUGAAGGGUAAGAUAGUAUGUCAUUUUUUUCCCUCUUAACAUGUAAAGGCUAUUUUCCAUAUUAUACAUACAUUAAUAUUUAUAUGUGAA
rnacentral:lncRNA from 1 species